UAAAUGAAAAUAUGAUCUCAAGAACAAAAUUAAACAAAAACAGAUAGAUAUGUUAAUCCGAGGUAAAAACUAUAUUCAAAACAAACUCAACAUCCCUUUACAUAAGCAGAUCGAAAGACUUGUCUAACUCGUGCAUCAUAGACUUGACCCUUAUAUACAUAUUGUGAAACCAUGGAUUCUGAAUCAAAAGGUCUGUCCGUGCAAGGGCCUUACAAUACAAUAGCUUUAAUUUCUUUUACGUUUUCUACCAUUUUCAUCAGAAUUAGCUGAAUCUGAUGAAUGAGAGCUCCUAGUGUCAGAAUUUGAAACUUUUCCCGAUGAUGCUUGAUCACCCUCGCUUUCUUCAUCUGAUUCAAUGUCUGAGCCACUUUCUUGAUCUUCAUCG
rnacentral:lncRNA from 1 species